CCCUUAGAGUUUGAUCCUGGCUCAGAGCGAACGUUAGCGGCGCGCUUAACACAUGCAAGUCGCACGAGAAAGGGCUUCGGCCCCGGUACAGUGGCGCACGGGUGAGUAACACGUGGGUGACCUUCCCAGCAGUGGUGGAUAACCUGCCGAAAGGCGGGCUAAUACGGCAUACGACGGCGGCGCUGCGGCGCCGUCGUGAAAGCGGGCCUCUCUACAGAAGCUCGCGCUGCCGGCUGGGCCCGCGUCCCAUCAGCUAGUUGGUGCGGUAACGGCGCACCAAGGCGACGACGGGUAGCUGGUCUGAGAGGAUGGCCAGCCACACUGGAACUGAGACACGGUCCAGACUCCUACGGGAGGCAGCAGUGGGGAAUCUUGCGCAAUGGGCGAAAGCCUGACGCAGCGACGCCGCGUGGGCGACGAAGGCCUUCGGGUUGUAAAGCCCUGUGGGGCGGGACGAACCCGCCCGGCGCGAACAGCGCCGGGCGCUGACGGUACCGCCUUAGCAAGCACCGGCUAACUCUGUGCCAGCAGCCGCGGUAAGACAGAGGGUGCAAACGUUGCUCGGAAUUACUGGGCGUAAAGCGCGUGUAGGCGGUGCCGCACGUCGGGUGUGAAAGCCCAGGGCUCAACCCUGGAAGGGCACUCGAUACGACGGCGCUGGAGUCCUGAAGAGGAGAGCGGAAUUCCCGGUGUAGAGGUGAAAUUCGUAGAUAUCGGGAGGAACACCAGUGGCGAAGCGGCUCUCUGGACAGGUACUGACGCUGAGACGCGAAAGCGUGGGUAGCAAACAGAUUAGAUACCCUGGUAGUCCACGCCGUAAACGAUGAGAACUGGGUGUCGCGGUAUUGACCCCCGCGGUGCC
rnacentral:rRNA from 1 species